rnacentral:rRNA from 1 species
GUGAAGAUUAUAAAUACUCUACAGGCACCAGGUCUCAUCUGAUCUUGGAGGCUAAGUGGCCUCAUCCCUGGUUAGUACAUUGAUGGGAGACCACCAGUGAAUAUCAGGUGCUGUACUGU